AUGAGGCUCAGCCCCGCCCAUCUCCGCCUCUUGUGCCGGCCUGGCCCCACCCCUCUAGCCCGGCCCUUCGGCCGCGCUCCGCCCCUCGGGUGGGCCACGCCCACGGCCCCAAGCCAGGUGCCUCCGCAAUCCCGGCUCCCGGCCCCGCCCUCUGCCCCGCCCACAGGCCUCGCAGUCGCCGCGGACGCCGUUCUUGCGCAUGGAGUCGCCAUUUUGCUCCUAGAGAAGCCGUCUGGAGAGCCGGCGCUUUCUUCCUUCGGCAGCCGAGGCUGCGGCGGGGCCGGGGCUGGGGUCGGGGCCAGAUGUUUGCUGUUUGACAAAUAUCACUGAGCCUCUUCGAUGUGCCAGGUACUAGGCUCUGGUUGUACAGCAGAGGACGUAAUGGUGAGAAAAAAAAUCUCUGCUGUCCCAGACCUUAAAUUCUGGUGGAGGAAGCUGAUUUUACCAAGCAUCUAUCUCUCUUGUCAGGAAGGGAGAGGCGCAGGCCUGACCAAGGGACCUACCCAAGGACUGGUAGCUAGGGACUGUGGAAGACAGACCCAAGACUUCACACUCCUACUCCAGCAUCUUUAGAUAGGAGGUGUUUGUACAGUGGGCUCUUUGGAGGGAAAGCAUCAUGCUCUAAUGCGAGCCUUCCUCAUCCAAAAUAUGGAGAAGUGGUUUUUAAAUGACUGCUGGCAACAUCCAAAGCAAGUGGUCUUUCAGUGUGGAUUCAUCCAUGAGACCUAAUAGGUUGUCAGAUCUCAUUCAAAGAGGAGUAGGAUUUGCUUUUUGAAAGGGGCCGAGAGUCUCUGAAAAGGGUGUGUAUUCAUACGUAUAAAUAAUUCUCACACAUUCUAGAGUAAAUUUAGGAUAAAUGUAAAAGCAACUGUAGUUUGUGGAUUCCAUUUCGCACUGAAGCUUUGUGCUAAUGAGCCUCCUGCCAGCCCCAUCCUGGUGAUUAUGUUUCUGAGGAUAAUCUUUUAAAACUCACUUUUCUUGAAGCUUGGUAAAGAGCACAACUUCCAUUUCCAGUAGGGAAAAGGAGAACCAAAGCUAGCAACAGCCCUUAGUUUUGAACAUCUUGUAGAAUGAAUGGUCACAGAACAUGACUGUAUCGAUAACCAAUUUCCACAUGGACUCCCCUUCUGGUGCCAUUUCUGAGGGUAGUCUCAGGUUAGGUUUCAGUUACAGAAACCUGAUACCUGAAGACCGGGACUUAAGUGGCCACAGUCAGUGGUGAAGGGCAUUUAAACUAUGACCAGUAAGGAAAGGUUCCAGGAAGUAGCUUGGAGGAGAGAAUAUACACAGAGCUAAGAGAGCCAUCUAGAGAUAGGUGGAGCACUGCCCUGCGGCAAAGGAAUUUGAUGUUUGCUGUAAAUUAUCAAGGGAAGGGCAAGGACCAGGGAGUGGCGACUGCAGGGAGAGGAAGUUCAGCAUAUUCUAAGAAGAGUUUGGAAUGGAUGGGCCCUCAGGAUGUGGGCAUCAGUCUCCGGAGCUCUUCAAGCGCCUGGAGUGGUUUCUUGGAGUCCUGUAGUUGGGCCGAUUGACCUCUAAGAGCUCUUUCUGCCCUCAGAUGCUUCUGAGUGUUCCAGGCCCUCUCAAGAACACUGUGGUACUUUAAGAAUCUUCUUAUUUGAAGAUUGGGGGGUAUAAAAAGAGGGCCACCCCAUGUGUAUUACUGUACUUGUUCCGGAGAAAACCAAAAUAUUAACAGUUGAUUCCUAUGUAGCUUCCAUUUACCAAGCAGAUCCUCUAUGUGGGACACUUUGUUAAGUGCUGUACAGAAAUUAAUUUUACAGCGACCCUGUAAGGGCCGUAUUCAUGUAUUGUAUGGGUGAGGGAACUGAGACUAAGAUUAGUUUAUGCAGGGCCUCUCAGGGAGCUAAGUAGGAGCCAAGAUGCAAACAUGAGUUUGACUCCAAAGCCUGUACUUCUAACUACAGGAAAAUGAGUUUCCUCUUCCAGACCUGUACCCUGUGUUCCUGAACACACGUAUAUUGGUUGAGAGACAGUGUCGGAAGAUACUUAAGAUCUCUUCCAACUUUGAGUAUUGCGAACGUUCUUUCAUGUAUACCAGCCACUCUGCCCCACACUAUGCCAUAAAGCAGGGGUCAGCCGACUUUCUGUAGAGGAUCAGAUAAUCAGCUCUUUUUCAGCUUUAUGGCCGGCACUCAACUCUAUCAUUGUAUCCAUAGACAGUUUGUAGGCAGUGAGUGUGGCUGUGUUCCGAUACAGUUUUAUGUACAGAAAUAGCAUUAGGAGGGACCUGGUUUGGCCCGUGGACUGUAGUUGGCUAAUCCCUGCUCCUGAGCCACCUUCCAUGGUAGGCACCACCAGUCCUCCUUGGUCUCCUUAGGGCUUUGGCCAUUUGUGCCUGCGUUUCUGUUUGUAAUUCACAGGCUGUAGGUAAAUUUCAUUGCCCUGCUCCACAUUUCCCACAAGAGGCACUCUGUGGGGAAACCCUAGCCUGCUAGUGCUGCUGUACCUGUAAAUUGCACCAUCCCCAGGCCCCAGUGGUUCUCUUGCAGUUACUGCAGAGAGACGCACAUAUGCGCUAGGAGGCCUGUUUAGGGUGGUGACCUGCUAAAUGAGGCACCUCCAGUACCAUGGAGUAUUGGCAGCAGUUAAAAAGGACAAGAUGGGCAUAUAUUUUGUAACCCCGGGUUGUCAGAACAUAUCGUUUAACAGAAAGGAUGAUAGAUACAUUUGUACGAUGAUUUUUUUUAAUGUUAGAAAUGUAUUUUUGUCCUAUCUUUUUAUGAGGGGAGGGCCACGUGUGAAUGCGUAAAGGUCUGAUGGUAUCUGUAUGAAACUAAGAAGAACCGUCCAUUCUGGGAGGGUGGGUGGGAAGGGGCCUGGGACGGGGGCUGGUGGACUUUAGCCUAAACGGUCCUCGUUCCAAUUUUCCCAAGGAGAAUGCGUUUGUGUAUUACUCUUGUAAUUAAAAUGGAAGAACAGCAAAAAAGAGCCGCUCAGCUUCAUCUCUCUUCGUAAUCUCCACCGGCCUUCCCUGGGGCCAUCCCAAGUAAAGCUGCACCCGAGGAAGCGCAGUGUGCUUGCUGGGAAGGUGCCCCCAUGCCCCCGUGGCCUUCGAGACUGUUGCUGGGGCACCUAAGUCCUGCACCUUCCUUGGGUGAUAAGGACACAACCCAGAGAGUGGAAGGUGGGAGGGCACGUGAAUGUGGGAUGACCACCUCACCUCUGAUGACUUUGAGGCCGGGGGCUUUUCUGUCUGUGCCCUGCUGCCUGUCAGUUGGGUGGUCUGCUCACUUCCCCUCAGGGUUAUUUUUUGGUCGGCCUUUUCUUGCAGUUCAGGAAAAUGCAGGCAAGGUCUGCCUUGGACGUUGCUCAGGGCAUUAGGCAGCUGAUAGGCCAGGGGAGGGCUUUGGGGUAAAUAGUUAUUAUAGGAAAAUAUAAUGGGCAUAGAUGGGUUAUUUAUUCAUUAUUUAAGGGUCCAUCAGUCCAUGUCCUUGCUAAUGGCUCUGCCAU
rnacentral:lncRNA from 1 species